rnacentral:rRNA from 1 species
UAAUACCAGCUCUCCGAGUGGUAGGGAUGAUUAUUGGGCUUAAAGCGUCCGUAGCCGGCCUAGCAAGUCUUCCGUUAAAUCCAGCAACCUAAUUGUUGGGCUGCGGGGGAUACUGUUAGGCUAGGGGGCGGGAGAGGCCGACGGUAUUCUCGGGGUAGGGGUGAAAUCUUAUAAUCCCGGGAGGACCACCAGUGGCGAAGGCUGUCGGCUAGCACGCGCCUGACGGUGAGGGACGAAAGCUGGGGGAGCGAACCGGAUUAGAUACCCGGGUAGUCCCUGCUGUAAACGAUGCGAGCUAGGUGUUGGGGCGGCUACGAGCCGCUUCAGUGCCGCAGCGAAGGCGUUAAGCUCGCCGCCUGGGGAGUACGGCCGCAAGACUG